UGGGAAUAAUGAUUUGUAAAGUAAAAACUGAAGUGUUGUUUUCCACCCGCUCCACCAGGCGGCAGAAUCAGUCUUUAGGUUCAGUUUGACACAUUCAGAUACUUGACAACAUGACGCUUGAUAAUAGCACGUGCAGACUGAUUUAAAUGUAAAUUCUGCAGAUAACAACUCAAUUACAGACUUAUAAUGUCACUUAACAGCACACACUUCAGCCCAUAAACAAACAAACGCUGUGAUAAAGUGCAGGAGUGGAAGAUGUCACGAGACUCACCUAAUAAGGGAUGUUUGAAGUGUUACUCUCAACAAACAGAAGCAUGUGGACACUGGACAGACAUUGACUGUAAUGAUGGACAUCUGCUGAAGCACAGGCAGAAGUAUAACGCCUGCUGGACAUUGUGCUGGAACUCGGGGAGGACACCAUGAUCCCCCACACCUUCUCACUCACACCAGACCAUUCACUCAUAUCACGGAGAUCUGGCUGGACUUGAACCAGCAACCUCUGAAACUAUGAGGCAGUGCUCUUACCUCUGAGCCACAGAUCUCAUGUCUGAACAUGUGCAGGAACUUAUAUUUCACUAUUCUCCCUGUCAGUUUACAAUAAACCAGUUAAAUUUUUAACCCAUCACACCACUGCAGUCCUGAUUGUGAGUAACAUGUGUUUAGCCAUUAGUGCCACACUGGCUUUCAUAUUGAAAGCUUGCGUUUGCUCCACUUUGUUGGAUAUAAUGCAAUACAUGAGCUUUAAUGUAAGCAAUAGUUGGGCUUGAACUCAGAACUCAAUGAUCCCAACACAACACGCUGCUUCUUGAGCCACUGGAACAGGUGUGUAAAUGGUUGUUUUGGACAGGUUAUAUUAAGAGCUUUGGUUUAUGUGAUUAAAAAUAAUUAAAUGAAUAAAUAAAUAAAAACUUGAGCUAGCAUUUUAGGUGGUGUUUUGCUGGAAACAGUAACAACAGCUGAAUGUAAGGAAAAGUGGAUUUUGAACUCAGGACUCCACAAUUCAUGGAGAAACUUAUUAUCUCCUGCACCACUGUGUGGUGACAUCUAUUGUAGUGUUUUAGAUGUAAAGACGAUAAAAUAACCAAAACGUCUUCAAUAAUUGUGAGAUUUGAACCCAAAGACAAAACACAAUAUUAUGAGCCACAAAGUUUGCAACAACUUGUUGUUAGGUUUUAUCCAAAUUAAAUAACAGUAGGAUUUGAACUCAAGACUCUGUGAUUGAAGCGCAGCACUUUAUAGCCUGAACCACUGGAUUUGUGGUGUAAAGGACUGUUUGCUUCAGCUGUUUUUUCAGGGUUGGAGCUAAAAUCAGGACAGUGGCUCACCAGGAGCAGGAUUAGACAAUCUCUUUCCUCCUGCUGUUUUCAUGUAUUAAUGCAGAUACACUUAUUGUCCACAAGGGAGAGCACAUUAGCACAUUGAUCUGAUCUCAUGCCUGUUCUCCAUCCAUUCAUUCUCCAAACCGCUUCUCCUGUAGGAUCCUGUGAGGAGAUGCUGGAGUCUGUCCCAGAGUCUCCGACCCAAAGCAGGAAAACACCCAGUCCAUCACAGAGCGAUAAUAAGGGAUGUUUGAAGUGUUACACUCAGCCAACAGAAGCAUGUGGACAGACAUUGACUGUAAUGAUGGACAUCUGCUGAAGCACAGGCAGAAGUAUAACCCCUGCUGGACAUUGUGCUGGAACUCGGGGAGGACACCAUGAUCCCCCACACCUUCUCACUCACACCAGACCAUUCACUCAUAUCACAGAGAUCUGGCUGGACUUGAACCAGCAACCUCUGAAACCAUGAGGCAGCGCUCUUACCUCUGAGCCACAGAUCUCAUGUCUGAACAUGUGGAGGAACUUAUAUUUCACUAUUCUCCCUGUCAGUUUACAAUAAACCAGUUAAAUUGUGUAAGUAAUGUGUGUAAGUAAUGUGUGUUUGCAC
ensembl:lncRNA